UCAAUGCACUAACCAGAAGUAAUAAAUGUUUUCUUACCUUUCCUCCUUAACAGGGAACCUGAAGAAAGACAAGUCG